rnacentral:tRNA from 1 species
ACGGCCUUAGUUUAGUUUGGAGAAUGAUAGUUUGUCGUACUAUAGGUGGGUUUGUCCAGGCUGUG